GGUAGGCACGGGGCACAUGGCUGGCAGCAUAGCCAGGUUGGAAUAGAUGAGUAUCUAUCCAGGUAUGACGCUUUAAGAUUAUUAAUAAAUAUAUCAGGUCUCCAUGUCUUAUUCAGAUACAAGGAAGGAUGUAAAAAGCCCUGGCCUUUUACAAGGGCUGCUUCUCCAGAAGUCAGAGACUCACAGUGAAAUUACCACUUCUGUCCCAGGGGGCAGAAUAGGGAGGUCACACCCAUGCAUUCCCGCCUGGUGCAGUGUUGGCCCUGGAAAACCUUUCAGUUCACUGCUGUCUACCAGGGCAGUGGAAGACAGCCUUCUUGGACUGUGGACAGAAGGAUGACGGGUAUUGAGGACAAGGAGCGGAGCACGGAUUUCCCUUGUCCCCGGAGCAGUUGUCCAAGGUGCAGAAAAGAUUCCCUGCCAUAGUCUCUGCGGCGCUCAUGGCCUCCUCAGGUUACCAGUCCUCUGGCAGGGAGAGGAAUGGACGCAGCAGGCUCUGUCCCCACAUUUGUCUUUACUCGAAGCAUUUCUCAGAAACAAGUGCAAAAGGAGGACUGUAAAUAGAAC
rnacentral:lncRNA from 1 species